UACGUAGGGGGCUAGCGUUGUCCGGAAUCAUUGGGCGUAAAGAGCGUGUAGGCGGCCCGGUAAGUCCGCUGUGAAAGUCGGGGGCUCAACCCUCGAAUGCCGGUGGAUACUGUCGGGCUAGAGUGCGGAAGAGGCGAGUGGAAUUCCUGGUGUAGCGGUGAAAUGCGCAGAUAUCAGGAGGAACACCAAUGGCGAAGGCAGCUCGCUGGGACGGUACUGACGCUGAGGUGCGAAAGCGUGGGGAGCGAACAGG
rnacentral:rRNA from 1 species